UCAGAGCCAUGAGGGUGGAAUUGAAGUGGACGGUGUUGUCGUCUGCCACGGGCAGGUCCAUCCGCAGAAGCCUCUACAGAAAACCCAAGAGCUGGCCUCAAUCCUUCCCUGCCUCGUUCCGCCCCAGAGUUCUUCUGGAUGGCCCCGUUUCAGUCUGAUCCCAAAGAAAAAGAGCACAAGCUGGAUUUGAGCAGCACGUGCAACAGCCAAGGCUGAGGGGGCCAGGGCCACAGCCGAGGGUGGGGGCGCCGCCGGCUCCCCACCCCCACCUCCCGGCUUGGCCAGACCAGGACAGACCAGAUGGGCAGAGACCACAUCAUUCCUCUGAGAAGCGGCAGGCAGGCAGCCCCCCACUGACGGGGCAGGCCCCUCGCAGGCAUGCAGCGAGGCUGUGACACAGAACAGCACAGACGGGGCGCAUGCAGACGGAAUCUCGAGACUCAUUCAUAGCUCCGUGGGAAGUGUAUCUCAGGGACUUGUCCAGAUCUUGGCUCUCUGUGCAAUGGCAGGGGGAAGGGAUGAGGGGCAUUCCUGUGGCCCAGGGAAGAAAAGAUUCCCCAUGUCCCAGGCAGGGGUUCUGUCCACCGUGCUGGGUGGCAUGGGAGAGGAUGCUGGGCUGGUGUGCACCAGCCCAGGCUGGGGUGGCACAGAGAAGGGGGGUGAGGUCGAGUUGGGUGGGGAUUCCGACACACAUGGGCAGGAAACACAGAGCUAGAGAUGGGGAGAGGAAUGGUAAGCUCAGAGCAGGACACUAGAGGAGACACUGGGGCAAGGUGGGGAAGGAGCUGGGAAACAGAGAAACACAGACUGAGCCUCUGUGCACAGUUGUGCAGGCUGUGCACUGCACAAAGUGCUCCCAUCUUGGAAAUGAUACAUAGAUGUACUUAUUUAUUAAAAUAUUUUUUGCUUUCGUAGAGAUGGGGUCUUGCUAUGUUGGCCAGGCUAGUCUCGAACUGGGCUCAAGUGAUCCUCCCAUCUCAGCCUCCCAAAAACACUAGGAUUACAGGCAUGAGCCACGAUGCUUGGCCUCCAAUUUGUGCAUUAAAUACAACAGCUUCCCAGUUAAGAGCAGACAAGUGUCUUGUUCUCGCCACAUUGGCAGACUGCAACAAUUUUCCGAUGGACACGUUUUGUAGAAAGGGUGCCUUUUUCAAAUUUGCACCGAGCUGUCUGACGGACCCAUGGUGGGCCUGCACCAAGACGGGGAGGGGAAGGGCUCUUCCUCCCUCUCUUGCAUGCGCACACACAUCCAACUACGCAGACACUGAGAAGUGACUUGAGGAAAACGGGAGGGGAGCGACUGGUGCGGGGAGAGGCUCCUUGUCUGAGACGCUGGUGGGCCAACCUUGUCCCCGGCUUUGACUGAGAAGUGAGGGGAGACAUAUAGGUUAGGUGAGGAGUGGUGCACAGAGGAAGGAAAGAGAGGAGCUUGUGGGGAGGUGGCGACACGGGGCGGGUACAGAUAGCACUGAUGGAUGGGGAUGCAGAGAAGAUCAAGGCUGACGGGAGAACAGGUUGACAGGGUAGUAUUUUUUGGGUGGGGAGAAUCUUUAAAGGUCAUCCCAGAACUUCUCGUGGAUGAGUGGAGGAAACAGAGCAUCUGUCCUCGGGCGCCAAGGAAGAUUCCAGGACAGGGAUCUAGAGGGGUGGCCUGGCCCAGCCGCUUGGCGGCAGGACACUCGUGUUCUCAGCCAGCAUGCACCACCCCCCGUCGGCCAUGGUGCCUGCCCGCCCCAGGCCCCGCCAAGGCAGCGUGCAUGGCCUGCAUCAGUGUGCCACCGUCCAGGGGUCCAGCUGCGGCCGCCUGCCCACUCUGGAACAAUGGAGAGGCAUGUUGGGGUGUCUUGGGCAGAUUAGGGACAGGGGCUGGGGACGAAACUCCAUGGGAGGGAAGAGAGGGGAAGAGAGGUUCUUGGUGCUCCUUGGAAGGUCUCCAAUCCCCCAAGGCCCUAGGUCAGAGAUCAGCUUCAGGUGUGCGCGGGGUGGGGAGCUGGGGGCUCGAGGCACAAAAGAUGGGCCCGGGACCUUGCCUGCUCUCGGGGGCUUAAGCCCCUCUCUGCAAGGCGCCUGUCCCGGCCUGGGCAUGGGGGGCAGAAGUGGGAGGCGUGGGUUUUGACUCCCUGGAGAAGCGUGUUUGUUUCCAAUUUGGUACCUGGGAGACCAGGUGCAAGGGGACCUGGGCGCUCCCCUCCCCCUCCCCCCGGCGUGUCGGCCAUAAUGGAGUCUCAGAACACGAAGACACUCAUCAGAAAGGACGGACACAGUGUGCUGCUUGGAAUCGAGGGAUGGUCAUGAUCAGUUCACUCGAGAAAAGAAAAAAAAGAAUCAAAAACAAGAAGAGAAACGCUGGAAAAAGAGAGUCGGCUGGGUGUUUCUGGUCAGCACUAAAAAAAAUAAAAAAGGAAAAAAACAAAAAAAAACCCAGCGCCUGGACAUCGGUGGUCGGCAAGGGUAGUCUACCUUGUAAGCCACUCUGGCCGGGCACUUCUUCCCCAGACCCAGGGGCGGAGACAUGUGUCUCAGCAUCUGAUACAUGUCCAGGUAAGGCAUGCGGCCCCUGGCAGCACCGAAAACA